AGUUGCCAGCAUUCGGUUGGGCACUCUAGAGGGACUGCCGGCGACAAGUCGGAGGAGGGUGGGGAUGACGUCAAAUCAUCAUGCCCCUUAUGACCUGGGCUACACACGUGCUACAAUGGGCGGUACAAAGGGCUGCGAACCCGCGAGGGGGGAGCGAAUCCCAAAAAGCCGCUCUCAGUUCGGAUUGCAGGCUGCAACUCGCCUGCAUGAAGCCGGAAUCGCUAGUAAUCGCGGAUCAGCAUGCCGCGGUGAAUACGUUCCCGGGCCUU
rnacentral:rRNA from 1 species